rnacentral:rRNA from 1 species
AACGAACGCUGGCGGCAUGCCUAACACAUGCAAGUCGAACGAGACCUUCGGGUCUAGUGGCGCACGGGUGCGUAACGCGUGGGAAUCUGCCCUUGGGUUCGGAAUAACAGUUAGAAAUGACCGCUAAUACCGGAUGAUGACUUCGGUCCAAAGAUUUAUCGCCCAAGGAUGAGCCCGCGUAGGAUUAGCUAGUUGGUAGGGUAAAGGCCUACCAAGGCGACGAUCCUUAGCUGGUCUGAGAGGAUGAUCAGCCACACUGGGACUGAGACACGGCCCAGACUCCUACGGGAGGCAGCAGUGGGGAAUAUUGGACAAUGGGCGAAAGCCUGAUCCAGCAAUGCCGCGUGAGUGAUGAAGGCCCUAGGGUUGUAAAGCUCUUUUACCCGGGAUGAUAAUGACAGUACCGGGAGAAUAAGCCCCGGCUAACUCCAUGCCAGCCGCCGCCGUAACAC